UGGGGAAUAUUGGACAAUGGGCGAAAGCCUGAUCCAGCCAUGCCGCGUGUGUGAAGAAGGUCUUCGGAUUGUAAAGCACUUUAAGUUGGGAGGAAGGGCAGUAAGCGAAUACCUUGCUGUUUUGACGUUACCGACAGAAUAAGCACCGGCUAACUCUGUGCCAGCAGCCGCGGUAAUACAGAGGGUGCAAGCGUUAAUCGGAAUUACUGGGCGUAAAGCGCGCGUAGGUGGUUCGUUAAGUUGAAUGUGAAAGCCCCGGGCUCAACCUGGGAACUGCAUCCAAACCUGGCGAGCUAGAGUAGGGCAGAGGGUGGUGGAAUUUCCUGUGUAGCGGUGAAAUGCGUAGAUAUAGGAAGGAACACCAGUGGCGAAGGCGACCACCUGGGCUCAUACUGACACUGAGGUGCGAAAGCGUGGGGAGCAAACAGG
rnacentral:rRNA from 1 species